CGAUAAGUAAUGUGARUUGCAGAAUUCAGUGAAUCAUCGAAUCUUUGAACGCACCUUGCACCUCUUGGUAUUCCGAGAGGUACGCCUGUUUGAGUGUCGUGAAAUUCU
rnacentral:rRNA from 1 species